ACGCUCGACACCUACGGGAGGUAGCAGUGGGGAAUAUUGCACAAUGGGGGAAACCCUGAUGCAGCGACGCCGCGUGAGCGAAGAAGUAUUUCGGUAUGUAAAGCUCUAUCAGCAGGGAAGAAAAUGACGGUACCUGACUAAGAAGCCCCGGCUAACUACGUGCUAGCAGCCGCGGUAAUCUGAGCGGGCUGGCAAGGC
rnacentral:rRNA from 1 species